UCCCCUGUCCCUCACAUCCAAAUAGGCUGGAGUUUAAUAACACCUCCGCCGUCACUCCCAAACACUGAUAGAGCGUUUUGCUCCUAAUAAGUUUAAAGUAUUAGAUGAAUUCACUGAUUACUUCAUCCUCGUGAGCGGUGAGGCUGGAACUAAGAUCGUCACGUUUACAAACGUGCUUCGAAAUUGCUCCCAAGGUCAAGGAGCUGUUUGUGAGCGAGCUGUCACCAGAUUGUGCCCACCGGGGUCCCACACUUAGGGAAAAGCCCAAACCUGGAAAGUCCGCCGAACUCUGGCUGGUUUCCCACCCCUCACCCAAACUGCAGGAUUUGGCGGAGACGAUGGGGCAUCAUCCUGGACUCCUGAAAUGUUUAAUAGAAACGCAAACGCAAAUGAGACCGGUCAGGCCAUGCGGAAACUGUCACCUUUAGCAAGUAGAAGUACAAGGAAGUUCCUGAAGAAGAUUGAAUUUAAAUUCAGCCCCCCAACCCCGCACCGGGGGCAGGGGUGGGGUCCAUGGGUCACUCACACCUUCCUCUGUUUCCCACUUCACCUAAAAAAAAACGAGCCACAAGAUUAACUGUUGGGAGAGAAAUACCGCGAUGGUGUCAGAAAAAUCACCAAAAUCUCCUUCGCCGGAACAGAACUUCAACUUUGGUCUAUUGCGGUCACACCUGCAUCCCCAGGGCCUGGAAACAAGCCUGACACACAGCAGCUGUGCUGAGCAGUUUGCGGGAUCUUAGUUCUCCAACCAGGGAUCAAACCAGUGCACCCUGCACUGGAAGCACGGAGUCCUAAUCACUGGACCACCAGGGAAUUCCCUCCCUGGACUUUUUAUUUUCUGAG